GCGACAGAUGACUGAAGCUGAUUUAGAAGGGUCAGCCUACCUUGUGACUAAGAAACAGCUGCAGGAGAGAAGGAGACAGAAAGGAGACGCACAGUGAAGUCACCUCAGGCCCCGCCCACCGCCGCACCUGCAGCAUCACCAGCCCCUCACCUCACGUGCUAUCUGCGUCAGCGCGUCGUCUUCUGCGCUCUGCUUGUCCCGGUUCGGGGUUCUCCUCCGGCCCGGUCCCUGGGUUUCCAUGGUUCCGUUGGACCCGUCAGCAGAAUCCUGCCCUGCAGUCCCGCGGCACCCGGGCAUGAUGCGCUACAAUAAAGCCGUUAGAGGCCUGUUUUCUUUUGGACCACAGCGGUUCCGUCUCUUAGAUGUGGACCCCACAGCGUCACGGUUCUGAUACGCAUAACUACACUAAUAGAUCAGGCAGACCUCACUUCCUGAACAGGUCCAAAUCAAAUGUGGGCCGGUCCGCCUUAAACCCGAUUCGAAUGUCAGCAUUAAGCUCAGGGUCGUUAUGCGGAACCGCCGCGGUGCUUCGGGCUGCAGAACCUUCGUCCCGGUAGGAACCCCAGCAGCAUCCCUAGAGGUCAGGCGGAGGAGGAGCGGCUCCCCGCCCGUGGCAGUCUGCGUCCUCCCGGGGAAACGAGCGCCGCAGCGUCAACAGAUCCGCGCCGUUAAUCCGCGCCUUCAUGCGUCUGGAACAUGAAGGCAGCACCGCGCAGGACCGUGAACGCAGCACGCCAGGCUUUUAUUGUGAAGGAGCAGUGAUGCACCGAAAUAAGAAACAAACCAACACACCGGAAGUAAAACAAUGAAAACAUUUUUCAUACUUGUGUCUGAAUUCAGAAUAAAGACUCACUGAUUGAC